UCAAGCUAAUAAGGGCGCAAGGGGAAUGCCUUGGCAUUGGAAGCCGAUGAAGGACGUAGCGAUCUACGAUAAGCCUCGGGGAGACGAAAGCAGUCAUCGAUCCGGGGAUUUCCGAAUGGGGAAACCCGUUAGAGCAAUACUCUAACAACUCUUUGUGAAUCAAAUAGCAAAUUGUGGGGAACCGCCUGAACUGAAACAUCUAAGUAGGGCGAGGAAAAGAAAUCAACCGAGAUUCCGCUAGUAGUGGCGAGCGAACGCGGAAGAGGCCAAACCAAGGGUAGUAAUACCUUUGGGGUUCGGACAGCAUACGGUAUUGGUAAUCGAUAGUAGAAUGAAAUGGGAAGUUCAACCAUAGAGCGUGAUAGUCGCGUAAACGAAAUUGAGAGCCAGCCAGCUGUAUCCAGAGUACCGCCGGACACGUGAAACCCGGUGGGAAUACGGGGGGACCACCCUCCAAGCCUAAAUACUCUCCAAUGACCGAUAGUGUAUAGUACUGUGAAGGAAAGGUGAAAAGAACCCCUGGCGGGGAGUGAAAUAGAACCUGAAACCUUGUGCCUACAAGCACAUAGAGCACAUCAACGUGUGAUAUGGUACCUUUUGUAGAAUGGUCCGGCGAGUAAAUGUCACUGGCGAGGUUAAGGACUUAAGGUCUGCAGCCGAAGCGAAAGCGAGUCUUAACUGGGCGAAUUAGUCAGUGGUAUUUGACCCGAAACCGAGUGACCUAGCCAUGAGCAGGCUGAAGUGGAGGUAAAACUCCAUGGAGGGCCGAACCCACUCCCGUUGAAAUGGUAGGGGAUGACUUGUGGCUAGCGGAGAAAUUCCAAUCGAACUCGGAGAUAGCUGGUUCUCUCCGAAAUAGCUUUAGGGCUAGCCUCAAUUAACAUUACCGAAGGUAAAGCACUGACUGAGCUAGGGGGCGAAAGCUUACUGAACUCUAUCAAACUAAGAAUGUCGGAUAAUGAAUGAUUGGGAGUCACACUACGUGAGAUAAGUUUCGUGGUGGAAAGGGAAACAGCCCAGACCCACAGCUAAGGUCCCAAAGUAUGGUUAAGUGGAAAAGGAUGUGAAGUUGCGCAGACAACCAGGAUGUUGGCUCAGAAGCAGCCACUCAUUCAAAGAGUGCGUAAUAGCUCACUGGUCGAGUGACUUUGCGCCGAAAAUUUAACGGGGCUAAACCAUACACCGAAGCUUGGGAAUAUAUGAUUUUAGGAUUGUAUGUUGGUAGGAGAGCGUCGUAUACGGGGUGAAGUCGUAGCGAAAGCGGCGGUGGACUGUAUACGAGUGAGAAUGCCGGAAUGAGUAGCGAGAAUUAUGUGAGAAUCAUAAUGGCCGAAAGACUAAGGUUUUAGAAGGAAGGUUCGUCCGCUUCUAGUUAGCCGGGAGCUAAGGCGAGGCCGAGAGGCGUAGUCGAUGCACAUACGGUUGAGAUUCCGUAGCCACCUUACAUUUAAACUAAGGGACACAUCGAAAGAGCAUAACCCAGGCGUUGGUUGACCUGGGCGUAAGGGAACGAAGAUUAGUAGGGAAGUAUGCUUAGACGGUGGCGAGAAAAGCUUAGUGUAUAUAAGUAGGGUGCCCGUACUGUAAACCGACACAGGUAGUCAGGAAGAGAAUUCUAAGGCCAACGGGAGAAGGGUUGUUAAGGAACUCGGCAAAUUGACCCCGUAACUUCGGAAUAAGGGGUGCUCACGAGAGUGAGCCGCAGUGAAUAGGUCCAGGCAACUGUUUAUCAAAAACACAGCUCUCUGCUAAAUCGUAAGAUGACGUAUAGGGGGUGACACCUGCCCGGUGCUGGAAGGUUAAGAGGAGGAGUGCAAGCCCCGAAUUGAAGCCCCAGUAAACGGCGGCCGUAACUAUAACGGUCCUAAGGUAGCGAAAUUCCUUGUCGGGUAAGUUCCGACCCGCACGAAUGGCGUAACGAUCUCCACACUGUCUCCAACAUAGACUCAGCGAAAUUGAAUUCUCGGUGAAAAUGCCGGGUACCCGCAGCUAGACGGAAAGACCCUAUGAAGCUUUACUGCAGUUUCGUACUGGCACUAGGAUACAUUUGCGUAGGAUAGGUGGGACGCUUUGAAGUGCGGAUUUUGGUUCGCAUGGAGCGGUUGGUGAAAUACCACCCUGAUGUGUUUUAGUGUCUAACCCGCGUUCUUGAAGCAGGGCGGGGGACAGUGCGUGAUGGGCAGUUUGACUGGGGUGGUCGCCUCCCAAAUCGUACCGGAGGCGCGCGAAGGUUUGCUCAGGCUGGUCGGAAAUCAGCCGGUGAGUGCAAUGGCAAAAGCAAGCCUGACUGCAAGGAGGACACUCCGAGCAGAGACGAAAGUCGGUCAUAGUGACCCGGUGGCCCCGCAUGGAAGGGCCAUCGCACACGGAUAAAAGCUACU
rnacentral:rRNA from 1 species